rnacentral:lncRNA from 1 species
GGUGGGCGUGGGCUCCGGCGGGUUUCUCCAAGCUGCUUCCACGCUUCCGGGGUCGUGGGAACCGGUGAGAGAGGUUAAGGCCCAGGCAGGGCUGUUGGGAGUUCAGCCUUUGGUGAAAUUUGGGAAUGUGAAAUUUGAAAAGAAAAAACCCCCAAGCCCCACGCUUGUCCUGCCUGGCGCUGCAGCAUCUCCAGCACUGCUUAGCUUAUAAAGCAAAGCAUCCCUAGAGGGUAGCUUUCGCCUGACAAACUACUUGCUUUUGCUUCCCCGAAGCUUCCUGGGGCUACGUGGCAGGGCUGUCACCCGCGUGCACCUGAGCAGGUGCCAUGAUUCCGUGCUUCCCAGUGCAAAAAUGAAGGUUAAACCCUCAAUUCGGCAGUAAGAAGGAGCAUAAGGGGACUUCCUUUCUGUGGCUCAGGAAUUCAUGAACAGUUUAGCUAGCUUGAAGCCUUUUAUGAAGUUGCAGUCAAGAUUUUGGCCAGGGUUGUCGUCAUCUUAAGGCUUAGAUGGAGCUGGAAAAUCUGUUUUCAAGCCCAGGAAGUGAUCUGGAAGUGGAUCCAGCUGGAUUCUGCACCCACAGUGGGUCUGUGUCAAAGCUGAGAGGCACCGAUCUUAGGAAACCUCCCAUCUUAUAAGGGAUUGCUGGCAAAGCCACCCAUCCUCCCCUCUGGAGAGAGACCUUAUCUUUAUUACCUGGACUGUAA